UGACAAUCAUCAACAUAGAAUACGACGGAUACGACUCAACGCCACCAGCUUAGUCAUGAUACUCGCCAAGGUUCUCGCCCCUUAGAGUACAGUAAUCACAUCAACCGAUAGAGAUUAAGACACGAACGCAUGAACGACGAUACCGGCAUGAGAGCGUUACAUGCGCCUUUUACAGGCUAUACAUCAGCGACAUGUCACUUGGCCCGUCUACUACUACGCACCAUCUCGGGCAAGUACAAUCUGUUCGCGACUUGUUGCACCUAUAUGACUGCUGAUUCAGUGUUACCCACGACACGCUGACGCGACUGAGCAACACUUACAUCACCCAAAUCCUUUGUAAUGACACAGCCCACAACUUGCCACGUUUUGCUCUUUACGGGGUGUUUUACGCUCUCCGAAAAAAGACUCCAUGAAUCCACUAGGAGCGGACGCGCAAUGCCCUUGAUGAAGAAUCGGGGGCUGCCAGGCUGUUUCAGAUUUGCUUGCCUACUAGCCCCGAUGGGGCCUACUGUAGAAGAAGCACCUUGACAUGACGGUGAUGGUCACAUCACCAGAUCGACUCACAUGAUCGACACACCAGAUCGACAGCACCACCUCGAUAGUACCGCAGCGACGGAAUCACAACGAAGGCACGUGGUUUCUUCCUGACUACGAUAUCCACAGGGCGAUAGGUCUACACUACAGGAGCGCCAUCGCUGCAGCGACAAGACAGGAGCAACACGACGGCCGGGAUACUGCAAUAGCGAUACCACCCACACAAUCUCGAGGCGAUGACUAAUAGCAUGGACCUUGUGGUGGACGGUGAUGUUGUAUUAGUAAAUAACGGUUGCAACUCCACUCUCCACUCCAGGUGAUUCUGGUCAGAUGACAUUUCUGCUUGAAUGCGCCAUUCUAAUAGUCCAUACGAAGGGAAGAAAGGCAUACUCACAGACGAAGGGGAAAGGAACGGUUCCAAUGUUAGGAGGGACUGUGUUAGGGAGAUGUCGAAAUCGACUGUUGAUGUGGGAUCAGGUAACAUAUCUGAUUGGAAUCCAAAGGAUAACUCGACCGCACGCAGUGACACGACCAGUACAGUAACAUGUAUCCAAACAGUCACGCUGACUGAGUGAUGGAAGCCGCGGGAUAAGUGAUCUUGUGCUAUCCGAGCAUAACCACAUAUCACUACCUCCCCUCCAAGAAACAAAGAAUAGUCACGCGGAUGAGCUGAUCAAUGGAGCUAACACAGACAUAAAAGUAACAGCAGCGAGGACGACAAAUAAGAAGGGGGGAGGGAGGGAAACGUGGGAAGUGCCAACUGGACGACAAGAUAUGGGCUCCAAGGGUUGGCUGCUUCUGUCUAAAAUAAAGGGGGGAGACCUGAUUAUAUACCUACAGGCCGUUGUUUUGAUCCUAUUUGUGAGAAAGUGAGGUUGAUUGUGCCUGAUGUGAAGCUGAAGAUCCUGGUCAUACUCCCUGACAUCGAGCAAAACGCCGAUUGAAGUGGAGCGAUUUAUCUCCAUAGCUACAUAGAAAAUGAAGCUUGCUACAGUA
rnacentral:misc_RNA from 1 species